rnacentral:rRNA from 1 species
UACGUAGGGUGCGAGCGUUAAUCGGAAUUACUGGGCGUAAAGCGCGUGUAGGCGGCUUGGCAAGUCGGGUGUGAAAGCCCUGGGCUCAACCUAGGAAGUGCACUCGAAACUGCCUCGCUUGAAUGCCGGAGAGGAAAGCGGAAUUCUCGGUGUAGAGGUGAAAUUCGUAGAUAGUCGAGAGGAACACCGGUGGCGAAGGCGGCUUUCUGGACGGUGAUUGACGCUGAGACGCGAAAGCGUGGGGAGCAAACAGG